UUUGCCCUCCGCACCCUGUUACUGCGCUCUCCUCCGUGGCUCUGAAACUUCCCCCUCUGCCACCCGCAGUCUCCGCCCGUGAAGGGGCUUCUAGUGUGUGGAAACGUUUCCUCCUUCACAGCUCCCUCCCACUGGUGCAGAGUAAAUAAGAGAAGUAAAGACAGACAUUAAAGACACAUGAGGAACAAUCAGCUGAAUCCAGAGUGUGGGAAAUUCUACAGAACAAAGGACUCAAUUUCUUCAAACAACAAAUGAGACUGCAAGGAAAAUGGAGCUGAAGUCAAAACCAUCAUGAUGAUUUUUCAUUUUACUGUUCACCACUAACCUCUCAGCCAAAAGAGCCUUCCUGAGAAAGACUGGGACGAAGAAGAGAGAGGAAAAGAUCAAUUGUCAUAUCACAGCACUGAAAGGCUAUGGAAAGCCUGUGACUUAAGUGGACUUGCAGUGAGCCCCACCUAUCUUUAAAACAUAGAAAAUUAACUUUUUCAAGAGGCUAAAAGAAAAUGUCAAAUAAAAAAUCCCAAGAGGAGGAGCUUCAAUAUGGCAGAAGAGUAAGACAUGGAGAUCACCUUCCUCCCCACAAAUACAUCAGAAAUACAUCUACAUAUGGAACAACUCAUACAGAACACCUACUGAAUGCUAGCAGAAGACAUCAGAUCUCCCAAAAGGUGAGAAAUGCCCCAUGUACCAGGGUAGGGCAGAAGAAAAUAGAAAAAAACAGAGACAAAAGAAUAGGGAUGGGACCUGAACCAAUGGGAGGGAGCUGUGAAGAAGGAAAGGUUUCCACACACUAGGAAGCCCCUUUGUGGGCAGAGACUGCAGGUGGUGGAGCGGGGAAGCUUCGGAGCCACGGAGGAGAGCGCAGCAACAUGGGUGAGGAGGGCAAAGCAGAGAGAUUCCUGCACAGCAGAUCAGUGCCAACCAGCAUUCAUCAACCCGAGAGGCUUGUCUGCUCACCCACCAGGACAGGUGUGGGCUGGGAGCUGAGGCUUGGGCUUCGGAGGUCAGAUCCCAGAGAGAGAACCAGGGUUGGCUGCAUGAACACAGCCUGAAGGGGGCUAGUGCACCACAGCUAGCUGAGAGGGAGUCCAGGAAAAAGUCUGGACCUGCCGAAGAGGCAAGAUAAUUUUUCUUGCCUCUUUGUUUCCUUGUGCGCAAGGAGAGGGGAUUAACAGCGCUGCUUAAAGGAUCUCCAGAGAUGGGAGAAAUCCCCGGCUAUCAGCGGGGACCACAGAGACAAGCAUGGGAUGAUAAGGCUGCUGCUGCAGCCUCCAAGAAGCCUGUGGGCAAGCACAGAUCACUAUCCACACAGCCCCUCCUGGGAGGCUGUGCAGUCCGCCCCUGCCAGGGUCCUGUGAUCCAGGGACAAUUUCCCCGAGAGAACACAUGGUGUGGGUCAGGCUGUUGCAACUUCAUGCUGGCCUCUGCCACUGCAGGUUCACCCCGAACUCCAUACCCCUCCCUCCCCCAAGGCUGAGGGAGCCAGAGCCCCCUAAUCAGCUGCUCCUUUAACCCCGUCCUGUCUCAGCAGAGAACAUACACCUUCAGGCGACCUAUACACAGAGGCGGGGCCAAAUCCCAAGCUGAAACACAGGAGCUGUGCGAAUAAAGAAGAGAAAGGGAAAUCUCUCCCAGCAGCCUCAGGAGCAGAGGAUUAAACCACAAUCAACUUAAUGUACCCUGCAUCUGUGGAAUACCUGAAUAGAUAACGAAUCAUCCCAAAUUGAGGAGGUGGAUUUGGGAGCAACAAUAUAUAUAUAUAUUUAUUUCCCUUUUUCUUUUUUUGUGUGAGUGUGGAUGUAUAUGCUUCUGAGUGUGCUCUGGUCUGUAUAGCUUUGUUUUUACCAUUUAUC